UAACAGAGAGGUAAGCUUGCUACUUUGCUGACGAGCGGCGGACGGGUGAGUAAUGCUUGGGAACAUGCCUUGAGGUGGGGGACAACAGUUGGAAACGACUGCUAAUACCGCAUAAUGUCUACGGACCAAAGGGGGCUUCGGCUCUCGCCUUUAGAUUGGCCCAAGUGGGAUUAGCUAGUUGGUGAGGUAAUGGCUCACCAAGGCGACGAUCCCUAGCUGGUUUGAGAGGAUGAUCAGCCACACUGGGACUGAGACACGGCCCAGACUCCUACGGGAGGCAGCAGUGGGGAAUAUUGCACAAUGGGCGCAAGCCUGAUGCAGCCAUGCCGCGUGUGUGAAGAAGGCCUUCGGGUUGUAAAGCACUUUCAGUCAGGAGGAAAGGUUAAUAGUUAAUACCCGCUAGCUGUGACGUUACUGACAGAAGAAGCACCGGCUAACUCCGUGCCAGCAGCCGCGGUAAUACGGAGGGUGCGAGCGUUAAUCGGAAUUACUGGGCGUAAAGCGUACGCAGGCGGUUUGUUAAGCGAGAUGUGAAAGCCCCGGGCUCAACCUGGGAACUGCAUUUCGAACUGGCAAACUAGAGUGUGAUAGAGGGUGGUAGAAUUUCAGGUGUAGCGGUGAAAUGCGUAGAGAUCUGAAGGAAUACCGAUGGCGAAGGCAGCCACCUGGGUCAACACUGACGCUCAUGUACGAAAGCGUGGGGAGCAAACGGGAUUAGAU
rnacentral:rRNA from 1 species